rnacentral:rRNA from 1 species
CUACGGGAUGCUGCAGUUAGGAAUAUUCUGCAAUGCGCGAAAGCGUGACAGAUUGAGCCAGAGUGCUUUUCAUACGAAAAGCUUUUAUGGAAUGUAAAAAGUUCCACGAAUAAGGACUGGGUAAGACUAGUGCCAGCCGCCGCGGUAAUACUAGCGGUCCAAGUCGCAACCACAUUUAUUGGGUCUAAAACAUCCGUAGCUUGCUUGAUAAGUUUCUUGUGAAAUCUUGUCUCUUAAAGACCGGGCGUGCAAGAAGUACUAUCAAGCUAGAGACUGGGAGACGUAAGGAGUACGUAUAAAGUAGUGGUAAAAUGCUCUAAUCUUAUACGGACUAACAAUAGCGAAGGCACCUUACGAGAACAGUUCUGACAGUCAGGGAUGAAGGCUAGGGGCGCAAAACGGAUUAGAUACCCCAGUAGUC